rnacentral:pre_miRNA from 9 species
UCUCCAUAACGUAUAAGUUAACUCGGAUUUGUGUAGAGUUGGAACGUUGGCCUACGUUUGCCGCUAGGGGCGUUGUUCUAACUGCAUACGAAUUUGAGUUAACUUUUACGUUAUCGA